AUGAACGCUAGCGGCAGGCUUAAUACAUGCAAGUCGAGGGGUAACAGGUCCUUCGGGAUGCUGACGACCGGCAAACGGGUGAGUAACGCGUAUGCAAUCUACCUUUAACAGGGGCACAACUCCGGGAAACUGGAGCUAAUUCCCCAUAAUACUACGAAGUCGCAUGGCUUUGUAGUUAAAAUUCCGAUGGUUAGAGAUGAGCGUGCGUUCGAUUAGAUAGUUGGCGGGGUAACGGCCCACCAAGUCUGCGAUCGAUAGCUGAUGUGAGAGCAUGAUCAGCCACACGGGCACUGAGACACGGGCCCGACUCCUACGGGAGGCAGCAGUAGGGAAUAUUGGGCAAUGGAGGAAACUCUGACCCAGCCAUGCCGCGUGAAGGAUGAAGGUCCUACGGAUUGUAAACUUCUUUUAUUAGGGAAGAAACGUCUCGAUUCAUCGGGACCUGACGGUACCUAAGGAAUAAGCACCGGCUAACUCCGU
rnacentral:rRNA from 1 species